CCUUCCACAUCGUCUUUGCUCACGCACAUACCUACGUGCAAAGAGAAGGCGCGUGAGGGUGAAGACACCAAUCAUGUACCCUCUACAGGUGCCGAAAGGGGCAGAGGAAAACGCAGCCGCCCAAAAGGCCACCACGAAACUCCUGAACUCCAAGAACCCAGUAAGAAGACCUGCUGAAGUAAGGAGCUACAGCCCAGCAGCCUGUUCGAAACCAGGUUUAUGAAGCUCGAUACCUGUAAUGGACGUUACUCGGCGGCACUCACAUUUAAUGUUGAUCGCUAGCUUGUCUAGUCGUCGUGUUUACUUUU
rnacentral:lncRNA from 1 species